rnacentral:rRNA from 1 species
AAUAUUGCACAAUGGGCGAAAGCCUGAUGCAGCAAUGCCGCGUGUGUGAAGAAGGCCUGCGGGUUGUAAAGCACUUUCAAUAGGGAAGAAAAGCUUAGGGUUAAUAACCUUAAGUCUUGACAUUAUCUAUACAAGAAGCACCGGCUAACUCCGUGCCAGCAGCCGCGGUAAUACGGAGGGUGCGAGCGUUAAUUGGAAUUACUGGGGGUAAAGCGGGCGUAGGGGGUAAGGUCAGUCGGAUGUGAAAGCCCCGGGCUUAACCGGGGAACUGCAUUCGAUACUGCCUUGCUAGGGUAUGGUAGAGGGAAGUGGAAUUCCGGGUUAGCGGGGAAAAGCGUAGAUAUCCGGAGGGAAACCAGGGGGGAAGGGGACUUCGGGGACAAUACAGACCGUGGAGGCGAAAGCGUUGGAAGCCCAGGAAUUAACCCCGUUAUUCUCCACCCUUA